rnacentral:misc_RNA from 1 species
UGGCUCUCGCAUCGAUGAAGAACGCAGCGAAAUGCGAUAAGUAAUGUGAAUUGCAGAAUUCAGUGAAUCAUCGAAUCUUUGAACGCACCUUGCACCCUUUGGUCUUCCAAAGGGUACACCCGUUUGAGUGUCAUUGUAAUCUCACUACGAUCGACUUUAUUGUCUUUUGGUAUGUGGACUUGGAUGUUGCCGUAGAUUCUACGACUCGUCUGAAAUGCCUGAGUGUACCCCGUUUUGCGGCGUAUUCGGUGUGAUAAAUCUUCACCGGAGUUGAUCCCUUGUGGGUCGCGUCUUGUAAUGUGUGGCUCUAUGCUUCCAACCGUCUCUGAUGGGACAAUCUCUUGACAAUUUGACCUCAAAUCGGGUGGGACUACCCGCUGA